rnacentral:rRNA from 1 species
AUAACAGUUGGAAACGACUGCUAAUACCGCAUAAGCGCACAGGAUUGCAUGAUCCGGUGUGAAAAACUCCGGUGGUAUGGGAUGGACCCGCGUCUGAUUAGCCAGUUGGCAGGGUAACGGCCUACCAAAGCGACGAUCAGUAGCCGACCUGAGAGGGUGACCGGCCACAUUGGGACUGAGACACGGCCCAAACUCCUACGGGAGGCAGCAGUGGGGAAUAUUGCACAAUGGGGGAAACCCUGAUGCAGCGACGCCGCGUGAGCGAAGAAGUAUUUCGGUAUGUAAAGCUCUAUCAGCAGGGAAGAAGAAUGACGGUACCUGACUAAGAAGCACCGGCUAAAUACGUGCCAGCAGCCGCGGUAAUACGUAUGGUGCAAGCGUUAUCCGGAUUUACUGGGUGUAAAGGGAGCGCAGGCGGUGCGGCAAGUCUGAUGUGAAAGCCCGGGGCUCAACCCCGGUACUGCAUUGGAAACUGUCGUACUAGAGUGUCGGAGGGGUAAGUGGAAUUCCUAGUGUAGCGGUGAAAUGCGUAGAUAUUAGGAGGAACACCAGUGGCGAAGGCGGCUUACUGGACGAUAACUGACGCUGAGGCUCGAAAGCGUGGGGAGCAAACAGGAUUAGAUACCCUGGUAGUCCACGCCGUAAAC